rnacentral:misc_RNA from 1 species
UCUGGUCAAAACAUUGAGAAAUUAAGGAAUUCAUCUGGUGCCACUAUCACAGUACUGGCUCCAAAUCAGUUGCCUCUCUGUGCUUCUGCUCAUGAAUCUGAUCGAGUUGUGCAGAUAUCAGGAGAUGUACCUGUUGUGCUUAAGGCUCUAGAGGAGAUUGGUUGUCAACUCAGGGAAAACCCACCAAAACAAGUGAUUUCUAUCAGUCCAACAUACAACUAUG